ensembl:lncRNA
GCAUUACACAGCGAAUGUUUAUUAUAGCCACAAAUUAUUUUAUAAAGCAUUAAAAUUUUUACAUAAACUUCAACCAAUGAUUCAAUGUUCUUUUUUUAUGUACAGUAUACAAUCUCCUUUAGCAGUAGAUGAAACAGAACUUAAAGUGAGAAUGGCAGAAGGAUGCUUUUGCACUCAUAUAGUCUAUAGUUUGGAUCUAGGUACCGGACACCCGAGAUCUUGACCGCUGCACUGGAAACACACACUAUGCAUGCUAGUUUGGCUCAUCUAGACUGAUUUCAGUGAAGAUCUCUUCUGCUGCUCCCUGCUCUCAUUACUGACAUUAUUGUUGUUUUCAUUUUGCGUCGUAUCGGUGGCUUCAGCUUCGGUCAAAUCGUUUAAAUCACCUCCAAGCAGAUUUAGGUACAGGUUAAAAUCCUCGUUCUUCAUGGGUGUACUCAAGCUCGAGUUUGAAGAGAAACUGUUCUCUUCUGGAACAUUCUGAUAAUCUUUAAGAUAACAGACGGGAAGAUUAUCAUCACUACUGAAUAUAACAAAGUGAGCUUUUACAACUCAUUCAUUUCCCUCUCAGUGAAGAUAUUACAGAUUGGAAAAAAGCAACCAUCAAGAGAAGACUUUAAAUUAUGAGCCUGUUUGAGAGCUUGCUUGAAAUAACAGAUGCAAUACUGCCAAAACAAUGUAAAAAUGCAUGCUGUUUGGAAAAUGCUUUACCGUUGUCAUUGGUGGGUGCUUGUUCAGUUUUCUCUCCACAAGACCCAUUUGCGAUGGGAUUAGUCUUCUCCUCUGUAGUCUUGUCCUCUU